rnacentral:rRNA from 1 species
CUGGCGGCAGGCCUAACACAUGCAAGUCGAGCGCGCCUUCGGGCGAGCGGCGGACGGGUUAGUAACGCGUGGGAACGUGCCCAGAUCUACGGAAUAGCCACUGGAAACGGUGAGUAAUACCGUAUACGCCCUUCGGGGGAAAGAUUUAUCGGAUUUGGAUCGGCCCGCGUUAGAUUAGGUAGUUGGUGGGGUAACGGCCUACCAAGCCUACGAUCUAUAGCUGGUUUUAGAGGAUGAUCAGCAACACUGGGACUGAGACACGGCCCAGACUCCUACGGGAGGCAGCAGUGGGGAAUCUUGGACAAUGGGGGCAACCCUGAUCCAGCCAUGCCGCGUGAGUGAAGAAGGCCCUAGGGUCGUAAAACUCUUUCGCCUGUGAUGAUAAUGACAGUAGCAGGUAAAGAAACCCCGGCUAACUCCGUGCCAGCAGCCGCGGUAAUACGGAGGGGGUUAGCGUUGUUCGGAAUUACUGGGCGUAAAGCGCACGUAGGCGGAUUAGAAAGUUAGAGGUGAAAUCCCGGGGCUCAACCCCGGAACUGCCUUUAAAACUACUAGUCUAGAGUUCGAGAGAGGUGAGUGGAAUUCCGAGUGUAGAGGUGAAAUUCGUAGAUAUUCGGAGGAACACCAGUGGCGAAGGCGGCUCACUGGCUCGAUACUGACGCUGAGGUGCGAAAGUGUGGGGAGCAAACAGGAUUAGAUACCCUG